rnacentral:rRNA from 1 species
UCUGUAGGCGGACGUUUAGGUCUGGUGUGACAUCUCGCGGCUUAACUGCGAGCGAGCGCCGGAAACCGGACGACUAGAAUCACGUCGAGGUCGGUGGAAUUCCCGGUGUAGUGGUGGAAUGCGUAGAGAUCGGGAGGAACCUCGAAAGCGAAGGCAGCCGGCUAGACGAUGAUUGACGCUGAGGGACGAUAGCGUGGGUAGCAAACAGGAUUAGAUACCCUGGUAGUCCACGCCGUAAACGAUGUAUGCUCGGUGUGUGCGGGUAAAACCGUGCGCGCCUCAGCCAACGCGAUAAGCAUACCGCCUGGGGAGUACGGCCGCAAGGCUAAA